GACGAACGCUGGCGGCGUGCUUAACACAUGCAAGUCGAACGGAAAGGCCCUGCUUUUGUGGGGUUCUCGAUUGGCGCGCACGUGUGUAACACGCGAGUAACCUCCCCUUAUCUUUCGGAUAACUUCAGGAAACUGGGGCUAAUACCCGAUAAAAUCUCCUGCUCCAUGUGGGUGAAUGGAAAAUGUCGGCGGUUGUGGAUGGUCUCGCGGCUUACCAGCUUGUUGGUGGGGUAGUGGCUGACCAAGGUUUUGACGGGUAGGCGGCCUGAGAGGGUGGCCGGCCACAAUGGGACUGAGGGAGGGCGCAGACGGCUACGGGAGGCAGCAGGGGGGAAUAUGGCACAAUGGGCGGAAGCCAGAUGCAACAAUGUCGGGUGCGGGAUGACGGGUUUCGGGUUGUAAACAGCUUUCGCAUGUGACGAAGCGUGAGUGACGGUAAUGGGUAAAGAAGCAACGGCUAACUACGUG
rnacentral:rRNA from 1 species